rnacentral:misc_RNA from 1 species
GAUGAAGAACGUAGCGAAAUGCGAUAAGUAACGUGAAUUGCAGAAUUCAGUGAAUCAUCGAAUCUUUGAACGCACCUUGCGCUCCCUGGUAUUCCGGGGAGCACGCCUGUUCGAGUGUCGCGAAAUUCUUCAAGCCUUGGAUGGAUUUUUUUUGUCUGUCCUUGGGCUUGGUUGUUGGGCUCUGCCGUGUCCUUCAUUGGGACGGCUGGCCUUAAAAGCAUUAGCCGAUCCUCGUGUGGUACUGGUUCUACUCAGCGUGAUAACAAUCUGAUCGUUGAGGACAUCUUCUGGAUGGCCAGUCAUCAUGUGGGUUGCUUCUAAACCGGUUUCGCAGAUUGCUCAAUCUGUGUGCCACUUUUCAGCUUUGACCUCGAAUCAGGUGGGACUACCCGCUGAACUUAAGCAUAUCAAUAAGCGGAGGA